ensembl:lncRNA
GUGAGUGCCGAGAGGCUGAGGACUGAUGGGUAGGCAAAAUGCGUUUCAGCCUUGGCUUACCAGACCGGAGACCACUGCAGAUCCUCAUGUCUGCUUUGUUCGCGCUGUUUUCCGGUUGGGAAAAAUGUUAUUGAGAGUAUUGGGGUGGGGCCUCUCGAGACUCCAGGGUCUAGAGUCUAUCUGUUGACAUGCAGUUGGAGCCGGUGGGGAUGGCAGGGAGAAAAAGACCCUUUCUGAGAACUUGAGGCAGAGUUGGCUAUGGAACUGAUAAGGAUCAAAGGACAAGUCCUGGGCUCUUGGGAGCUGCCAUGCUCCCAGUGAGCCUCCAGUUCCCAGCCUCCCAGUGGCUCCCAGGCCCCAGUAGGCCCCACUUCAGGGCUCUAAAGCCCCUGGCUGCCUGCAUCAGAAUCGCCUAGGUGCUUGUUACAGUUGCCCAAUGCUAGGUUCCAGCCUAGAUGUUCUGAUCUCAAAGUAGAGGAGGAAGGACAGGGACUGUGGCUCCCAGCCCCCUGACCCAGGUGACUCUCAAUUUAGGAACCAUCUCCCUGUGUGCUCAGGCCAAACCCAGACCAGGGGCAGCUCCACACACACAGCCUGUUUCCUCUUCCUUGGAGGCUCCCCCACCCCCGGAUUUCUGGGUUAACGGCCAGAAAUUCCGGAAAAGCAGCAUUUCUCCUGGUGCUCUCCACAAAGGAGCCGGUGGCUAGGCCAGAGAAGCAGCCAGUCCUCACAGGAGUCCCUCUCCAGAGCCAAGGCCUCCCCACCUCGGGGUGCCCGCUGAGCCCCAUCCCGUGGCACCCGCCCCCUCCUGCUUUCUCCUCUGCACUCAGAGCCGGGGAGGCCUGCUCUGGCCAACCUGCAGACUUGGAUUCAUCUUUCAAAACCAACCUCCGCCCCCUCACCUUUUCUGCUAAUCCUCCUGCCAAGCUGACAGAGCCCUGAUGUUCCCUUCCCGUGGGGAGGUGGCACGUCCCUCAUGUCCCUCACGCCGUGGGCCUCACAUCAGCACGCAGAGCGCCCCUGCAGGCGUGCCUCUGUGAGCAGCCACAGGUGGGAGUAGGUGUGUGGGGAAGGUGGUUCUUAAUUGGGCUUGUGGUCUGGAGGUAGUUGAAAGCUUCUUUUUUUCCCCUCCUAACAAGGAUUUGGGUGGGUUCUCUAUUAUCUCAUUGCAG